rnacentral:rRNA from 1 species
AUUGAACGCUGGCGGCAUGCUUUACACAUGCAAGUCGAACGGUAACAGGGUGCUUGCACCGCUGACGAGUGGCGAACGGGUGAGUAAUGCAUCGGAAUGUACCGUGUAAUGGGGGAUAGCUCCGCGAAAGCCGGAUUAAUACCGCAUACGCCCUGAGGGGGAAAGUGGGGGACCGAAAGGCCUCACGUUAUAAGAGCAGCCGAUGUCUGAUUAGCUAGUUGGUGAGGUAAAGGCUCACCAAGGCGUCGAUCAGUAGCGGGUCUGAGAGGAUGAUCCGCCACACUGGGACUGAGACACGGCCCAGACUCCUACGGGAGGCAGCAGUGGGGAAUUUUGGACAAUGGGCGCAAGCCUGAUCCAGCCAUGCCGCGUGUCUGAAGAAGGCCUUCGGGUUGUAAAGGACUUUUAGCCGGGAGCAAAUGCUAGUAGUUAAUAACUGCUGGGUCUGAGAGUACCGGAAGAAUAAGCACCGACUAACUACGUG